UCCGUCCUUGUCAUGGGGUGAGGGAGCUGCUCAGUGAACGUAUAGUGAGAGCAGCCCUGCUGACACCAUAACAACACCUACGCAUCACCUGGACUUCUGUCUGGGACAUGGUGCAAUUUUUGGAAAC
rnacentral:ncRNA from 1 species